rnacentral:rRNA from 1 species
AUAUUAAGUUGUUGCGGUUAAAAAGCUCGUAGUUGGAUUUCGGGCGUGGAGGUUCGGUCCGCCGUUUCGGUGUGCACUGUCUUUCUGCGUCUUUCUGUCGGGGACGCGCUUCUGGCCUUAAUUGGCUGGGACGUGGAUUCGACGAGGUUACUUUGAAAAAAUUAGAGUGUUCAAAGCAAGCUAAAGCUCUGAAUACAUUAGCAUGGAAUAACGCGAGAGGACUCGGUCCUUAUUUUGUUGGUCUUCAAGGAUGGAGUAAUGAUUAAGAGGGACAGUUGGGGGCAUUCGUAUUUCAUUGCUAGAGGUGAAAUUCUUGGAUUUAUGAAAGACGAACUUCUGCGAAAGCAUUUGCCAAGGAUGUUUUCAUUGAUCAAGAACGAAAGUUGGGGGCUCGAAGAUGAUCAGAUACCAUCCUAGUCUCAACCAUAAACGAUGCCGACUAGGGAUUGGCAGGUGUUACAUCGAUGACUCUGCCAGCACCUUAUGAGAAAUCAAAGUUUUUGGGUUCCGGGGGGAGUAUGGUCGCAAGGCUGAAACUUAAAGGAAUUGACGGAAGGGCACCACCAGGAGUGGAGCCUGCGGCUUAAUUUGACUCAACACGGGGAAACUUACCAGGUCCAGACAUAGUAAGGAUUGACAGAUUGAGAGCUCUUUCUUGAUUCUAUUGGUGGUGGUGCAUGGCCGUUCUUAGUUGGUGGAGUG